rnacentral:rRNA from 1 species
AUUGAACGCUGGCGGCAGGCUUAACACAUGCAAGUCGAGCGGAGUGAUGGUGCUUGCACUAUCACUUAGCGGCGGACGGGUGAGUAAUGCUUAGGAAUCUGCCUAUUAGUGGGGGACAACAUCUCGACAGGGAUGCUAAUACCGCAUACGUCCUACGGGAGAAAGCAGGGGAUCACUUGUGACCUUGUGCUAAUAGAUGAGCCUAAGUCGGAUUAGAUAGUUGGUGGGGUAAAGGCCUACCAAUGCGACGAUCGGUAGCGGGUCUGAGAGGAAGAUCCGCCACACUGGGACUGAGACACGGCCCAGACUCCUACGGGAGGCAGCAGUGGGGAAUAUUGGACAAUGGGGGGAACCCUGAUCCAGCCAUGCCGCGUGUGUGAAGAAGGCCUUAUGGUUGUAAAGCACUUUAAGCGAGGAGGAGGCUCUUUUGGUUAAUACCCAAGAUGAGUGGACGUUACUCGCAGAAUAAGCACCGGCUAACUCUGUGCCAGCAGCCGCCGUAA